UAUUUAAAUUUUGCAAGUAGAUUUAGAUCAUGUCUAGCUAAGCAUCCCUUCUAGGGUUUGCGAUGAAGCUAGAUCAUGAGUAGGAGUUUUACAUAGGGUUCUUUCUUUUUUUUAGGGUUUUUUUUUCUUCCUCUUUUGUCAAAAAUUUUUGAUGAACUACAGUUGGGUUAGAGUCCCUUCAUAGUUCAUGCUUGAUUCAGUGCAUAGGAGGAGAAAACCCUAAGGGAUCCUAGUUACUACUCCCCUGUAAAGAAUCUUGAUGGGUUAUCGUUGGGCCUUAGUCCCUUCAUAAUCUAUGCUUGGGAAAGACAAGAGGAGUAGUCAUUAGGAUCAAUAAGAAAAAUUUUAGAUAGAAUUCCCUAAUCUAGAUCUAGUGGAUUCAAAAAUCCUAGAUCCUUAGUCUUAUUGUCUUUAGCAAACAACUUUCGAUUUUUGAUUUUCGUUAAAGCUCGCU
rnacentral:lncRNA from 1 species